rnacentral:rRNA from 1 species
CCUGCGGGGGGCUGCAGUGGGGAAUAUUGGACAAUGGGGGGAACCCUGAUCCAGCCAUGCCGCGUGUGUGAAGAAGGCCCUCGGGUUGUAAAGCACUUUCAGUGAGGAAGAACGCCUGGUGGUUAAUACCCAUCAGGAAAGACAUCACUCACAGAAGAAGCACCGGCUAACUCCGUGCCAGCAGCCGCGGUAACACGGAGGGUGUGAGCGUUAAUCGGAAUUACUGGGCGUAAAGCGCGCGUAGGUGGCUUGAUAAGCCGGUUGUGAAAGCCCCGGGCUCAACCUGGGAACGGCAUCCGGAACUGUCAAGCUAGAGUGCAGGAGAGGAAGGUAGAAUUCCCGGUGUAGCGGUGAAAUGCGUAGAGAUCGGGAGGAAUACCAGUGGCGAAGGCGGCCUUCUGGACUGACACUGACACUGAGGUGCGAAAGCGUGGGUAGCAAACAGGAUUAGAUACCCUUGUAGUC